CUUCCGCAAUGGACGCAAGUCUGACGGAGCAACGCCGCGUGAACGAUGAAGGCCUUCGGGUCGUAAAGAUCUGUUGUUAGGGACGAACACCUAUAGUGCGAAUAGUGCUAUAGACUGACGGUACCUGAUGAGGAAGCCACGGCUAACUACGUGCCAGCAGCCGCGGUAAUACGUAGGUGGCAAGCGUUGUCCGGAUUUAUUGGGCGUAAAGCGCGCGCAGGCGGUCUUUUAAGUCUGAUGUGAAAUCUUACAGCUUAACUGUAAGCGGUCAUUGGAAACUGGGAGACUUGAGUGCAGAAGAGGAGAGUGGAAUUCCAUGUGUAGCGGUGAAAUGCGUAGAGAUAUGGAGGAACACCAGUGGCGAAGGCGACUCUCUGGUCUGUAACUGACGCUGAGGCGCGAAAGCGUGGGGAUCAAACA
rnacentral:rRNA from 1 species